UCAUUCCGAUUAACAUGCCGGGCUACCAUUGGUAUCUAGCAGUCGCCAAUGCCAAAAAACGUGAGAUUCAAGUAUUGGACUCACUUGGUUCUCGGGUCAAACGCAAUGACCUUGCUACUACGUUACUAGGACUCGAGAAGUGUCUGAAACUUGUAGAGCAUAGACCGGAUUUUAUCAGAGGUCAUAAGUGGCCCGAUCUGAAUGUUACAAAAUGGACGGUUGUAGAGCAGUUUCAUGAGGCAAUACAAACCGAUGGCGUAUCAUGUGGACUGUUUAUGCUAAAUUAUAUGGAAUACUGGACAUCACAUGCACUGUCAGACCAAUUCACCCAGGUAUUUCGUUUUUAUACAUUAUCUCGUUAUUUUAUCUCAAAAUAAUAUAUAAAUUGUUUUUAUAUAUAUCUUGUAGGAGGAUAUGAAACA